rnacentral:rRNA from 1 species
UACGUAGAGGGCAAGCGUUGUCCGGAUUUAUUGGGCGUAAAGAGCGUGUAGGCGGCCAGGUAGGUCUGCUGUGAAAACUCGAGGCUUAACCUCGAGAUGUCGGCGGAAACCAUCUGGCUAGAGUCCGGAAGAGGAGAAUGGAAUUCCCGGUGUAGCGGUGAAAUGCGCAGAUAUCGGGAAGAACACCAGUGGCGAAAGCGGCUCUCUGGGGACCACCUGACGCUGAGGCGCGAAAGCGUGGGGAGCGAACCGG